rnacentral:rRNA from 1 species
UGGUAAGUUUUUAAGGGCACACGGUGGAUGUCUUGGCACCAGGAGCCGAUGAAGGACGUAGGAGCCUGCGAUAAGCCUCGAGGAGCUGGCAACCGAGCUGUGAUUCGAGGAUUUCCGAAUGGGGUAACCCGGCUGGAGGCAAGUCCAGUCACCUGCACCUGAAUAUAUAGGGUGUUGGGAGGGCACGACGGGAAGUGAAACAUCUCAGUACCGUCAGGAAGAGAAAACAACAGUGAUUCCGUGAGUAGUGGCGAGCGAAAGCGGAUGAGGCCAAACCGGGCGUGUGUGAUAGCUGACAGGCGUUGCAUGUCCGGGGUUGUGGGAGCUGUUUUCGGCGCGCUGUCGAGUGUCGGGUGAGUCAGAAAAUCAUGUCAUAGUCGAACGUCAUUGAAUGGGCGACCGUAGAGGGUGUUAGUCCCGUAGACGAAAUGUCAUGGUCUCACUUAAUGGUUUCCCAAGUAGCACGGGGCUCGUGGAAUCUCGUGUGAAUCUGGCAGGACCACCUGCUAAGCCUAAAUACUCCCUGGUGACCGAUAGCGGACUAGUACCGUGAGGGAAAGAUGAAAAGUACCCCGGGAGGGGAGUGAAAUAGUACCUGAAACCGUGUGCCUACAAUCCGUCGGAGCCUUGCGGGGUGACGGCGUGCCUUUUGAAGAAUGAGCCUGCGAGUUAGUGGUGUGUGGCGAGGUUAACCCGUGUGGGGUAGCCGUAGCGAAAGCGAGUCCGAAUAGGGCGAUCUUUAGUCGCAUGCUCUAGACCCGAAGCGGAGUGAUCUACCCAUGGCCAGGUUGAAGCGCGGGUAAGACCGCGUGGAGGACCGAACCCACCAGGGUUGAAAACCUGGGGGAUGAGCUGUGGGUAGGGGUGAAAGGCCAAUCAAACUCCGUGAUAGCUGGUUCUCCCCGAAAUGCAUUUAGGUGCAGCGUUGCGUGUUUCUUGCCGGAGGUAGAGCUACUGGAUGGCUAAUGGGCCCUACAAGGUUACUGACGUCAGCCAAACUCCGAAUGCCGGUAAGUGAGAGCGUGGCAGUGAGACUGCGGGGGAUAAGCUUCGUAGUCGAGAGGGAAACAGCCCAGAUCACCAGCUAAGGCCCCUAAGCGUGUGCUAAGUGGGAAAGGAUGUGGAGUUGCUGUGACAACCAGGAGGUUGGCUUAGAAGCAGCCACCCUUUAAAGAGUGCGUAAUAGCUCACUGGUCAAGUGAUUCCGCGCCGACAAUGUAGCGGGGCUCAAGUACACCGCCGAAGCUGUGGCAUUUGUUCAUGACCCUAGACCGGCUUGAUCCGGCUUUCAGGGGAACAGAUGGGUAGGGGAGCGUCGUGUGGCGAGUGAAGCGUCGGGGUGACCCAGGCGUGGACGCCACACGAGUGAGAAUGCAGGCAUGAGUAGCGAAAGACGGGUGAGAAACCCGUCCGCCGAAUGACCAAGGGUUCCAGGGCCAGGCUAAUCCGCCCUGGGUAAGUCGGGACCUAAGGCGAGGCCGACAGGCGUAGUCGAUGGACAACGGGUUGAUAUUCCCGUACCGGCGUAGAACCGCCCAUAGCGAACCCAGCGAUACUAAACUCGUGAUGCUCUGCCGGCUUUCGGGCCGAAGGAGUUGAGCCUGUGACCUGGACUGGUAGUAGUUAAGCGAUGGUGUGACACAGGAAGGUAGCCUCCGCGUGGCGAUGGUUGUCCACGUUUAAGCAUGUAGGGCGAGCUGUAGGCAAAUCCGCAGUUCUUUCUUUGAUGAUGAGCCUGAGAUGUGAUGAUGACCGCAUUGGCGGGAAGUGGGUGAUCCUAUGCUGUCGAGAAAAGCAUCUAGCGAGGUUCGAGCCGCCCGUACCCUAAACCGACUCAGGUGGUCAGGUAGAGAAUACUAAGGCGAUCGAGUGAAUCGUGGUUAAGGAACUCGGCAAAAUGCCCCCGUAACUUCGGGAGAAGGGGGGCCUGAGGCGUGACCUGGACUUGCUCCGGUGAGCGUUUGAGGGCCGCAGAGACCAGGGAGAAGCGACUGUUUACUAAAAACACAGGUCCGUGCGAAGUCGCAAGACGAUGUAUACGGACUGACGCCUGCCCGGUGCUGGAACGUUAAGGGGACCGGUUAGCUCGUAAGGGCGAAGCUGAGAACUUAAGCGCCAGUAAACGGCGGUGGUAACUAUAACCAUCCUAAGGUAGCGAAAUUCCUUGUCGGGUAAGUUCCGACCUGCACGAAUGGCGUAACGACUUCUCCGCUGUCUCAACCGCGAACUCGGCGAAAUUGCACUACGAGUAAAGAUGCUCGUUACGCGCAGCAGGACGGAAAGACCCCGGGACCUUUACUAUAGCUUGGUAUUGGUGUUCGGUACGGCUUGUGUAGGAUAGGUGGGAGACUGUGAAGCCGGCACGCUAGUGUUGGUGGAGUCGACGUUGAAAUACCACUCUGGUCGUUCUGGAUGUCUAACUUUGGUCCGUGAUCCGGAUCAGGGACAGUGCCUGGUGGGUAGUUUAACUGGGGCGGUUGCCUCCUAAAGAGUAACGGAGGCGCCCAAAGGUUCCCUCAGCCUGGUUGGCAAUCAGGUGUCGAGUGUAAGUGCACAAGGGAGCUUGACUGUGAGACCGACAGGUCGAGCAGGGACGAAAGUCGGGACUAGUGAUCCGGCAGUGGCUUGUGGAAGCGCUGUCGCUCAACGGAUAAAAGGUACCCCGGGGAUAACAGGCUGAUCUUGCCCAAGAGUCCAUAUCGACGGCAUGGUUUGGCACCUCGAUGUCGGCUCGUCGCAUCCUGGGGCUGGAGUAGGUCCCAAGGGUUGGGCUGUUCGCCCAUUAAAGCGGUACGCGAGCUGGGUUUAGAACGUCGUGAGACAGUUCGGUCCCUAUCCGCUGCGCGCGUUGGAAACUUGAGAAGGGCUGUCCCUAGUACGAGAGGACCGGGACGGACGAACCUCUGGUGUGCCAGUUGUCCUGCCAAGGGCACCGCUGGUUAGCUACGUUCGGAAGGGAUAACCGCUGAAGGCAUCUAAGCGGGAAGCUCGCUUCAAGAUGAGGUUUCCAUGCACCCUCGAGGUGUGAGAGGCUCCCAGCUAGACUACUGGGUUGAUAGGCCGGAUGUGGAAGCAAGGACUGAAGACUUGUGAAGCUGACCGGUACUAAUAUGCCGAUGACUUACUCAC